AUGAACGCUAGCUACAGGCUUAACACAUGCAAGUCGAGGGGCAGCAUGGUCUUAGCUUGCUAAGGCUGAUGGCGACCGGCGCACGGGUGAGUAACACGUAUCCAACCUGCCGUCUACUCUUGGCCAGCCUUCUGAAAGGAAGAUUAAUCCAGGAUGGGAUCAUGAGUUCACAUGUCCGCAUGAUUAAAGGUAUUUUCCGGUAGACGAUGGGGAUGCGUUCCAUUAGAUAGUAGGCGGGGUAACGGCCCACCUAGUCAACGAUGGAUAGGGGUUCUGAGAGGAAGGUCCCCCACAUUGGAACUGAGACACGGUCCAAACUCCUACGGGAGGCAGCAGUGAGGAAUAUUGGUCAAUGGGCGAUGGCCUGAACCAGCCAAGUAGCGUGAAGGAUGACUGCCCUAUGGGUUGUAAACUUCUUUUAUAAAGGAAUAAAGUCGGGUAUGCAUACCCGUUUGCAUGUACUUUAUGAAUAAGGAUCGGCUAACUCCGUGCCAGCAGCCGCGGUAAUACGGAGGAUCCGAGCGUUAUCCGGAUUUAUUGGGUUUAAAGGGAGCGUAGAUGGAUGUUUAAGUCAGUUGUGAAAGUUUGCGGCUCAACCGUAAAAUUGCAGUUGAUACUGGAUGUCUUGAGUGCAGUUGAGGCAGGCGGAAUUCGUGGUGUAGCGGUGAAAUGCUUAGAUAUCACGAAGAACUCCGAUUGCGAAGGCAGCCUGCUAAGCUGCAACUGACAUUGAGGCUCGAAAGUGUGGGUAUCAAACAGGAUUAGAUACCCUGGUAGUCCACACGGUAAACGAUGAAUACUCGCUGUUUGCGAUAUACGGCAAGCGGCCAAGCGAAAGCGUUAAGUAUUCCACCUGGGGAGUACGCCGGCAACGGUGAAACUCAAAGGAAUUGACGGGGGCCCGCACAAGCAGUGGAGUAUGUGGUUUAAUUCGACGCAACGCGAAGAACCUUACCAGGGCUUGACAUAUAGAUGAAUAACUAAGAGAUUAGUUAGUCCUUCGGGACAUCUAUACAGGUGGUGCAUGGUUGUCGUCAGCUCGUGUCGUGAGAUGUUGGGUUAAGUCCCGCAACGAGCGCAACCCUUAUUGCCAGUUACUACGUAAGAGGACUCUGGCGAGACUGCCGUUGACAAAACGGAGGAAGGUGGGGAUGACGUCAAAUCAGCACGGCCCUUACGUCCGGGGCUACACACGUGUUACAAUGGGGGGUACAGAGGGCCGCUACCACGCGAGUGGAUGCCAAUCCCUAAAACCCCUCUCAGUUCGGAUUGUGGGCUGCAACCCGCCCACAUGAAGUCGGAGUUGCUAGUAAUCGCGAAUCAGCAUGUCGCGGUGAAUGCGUUCCCGGGCCUUGUACACACCGCCCGUCACACCAUGAGAGUCGGGAAUACCCGAAGCCUGUGAGCCAACAUAUUUAUAUGAGGCAGCAGUCGAAGGUAGAAUCGAUGAUUGGGGUG
rnacentral:rRNA from 1 species